AUUGGUUUCGGGUUUUAUUUGCGCAGCAUAGGUGGGAGGCUGGGACGUUAAUCUUACGGGAUUAAUUGAGCCAUCAGUGAGAUACCACUCUUAUAAAACUAGAACUCUAACCUUGUAUCGUUAGCCGAUCAGGGAACAGUUUCAGGCGGGCAGUUUGACUGGGGCGGUCGCCUCCUAAAAGGUAACGGAGGCGUACAAAGGUUUCCUCAGAUCGGUCAGAAAUCGAUCGAAGAGUGUAAAGGCAAAAGGAAGCUUGACUGUGAGACUUACAAGUCGAACAGAGACGAAAGUCGGUCUUAGUGAUCUGGCGAUAUUGAGUGGAAAAGUCGUCACUCAACGGAUAAAAGUUACUCUAG
rnacentral:rRNA from 1 species